CCACACACAUUGUGGGAUUCGUAAACACAUAGCACGCGAAACACACACACAUCGUGGGAUUCGUAAACACAUAGCACGCGAAACACAAACACAUUCACCAAAUGUGUGUGUGAAUUGUUUUACGCGCAUUUGCAACGUGCUUCCAAUUACAAAUUCCCACUUACGAAUACAAAUUCCCACUUACGAAUGUGUGGAUCGUUUUGAUACCCGUCAUGCGCAACUGAGAAGAACACAUGCAUUUUUUUAACUGGAGCCCGUCUUCAGCCAAUCAGACGUCUUCUUCUUAAACAGCCAAUCACAAGGGCUGGGCUGUUUCGUUACGUCACUGCUGUGCGCCUUCAAGUCCGGUGUACUGAGUGACAAGUGACAAAUGGGGAGCUUUUGUAAAAGUAGGAGCCCCGUUUUUGACAGCUCAACUCGACCGCGGGGACUAUCGAUGCAAGCUGAAGACGUCCCAUCCAUUUUGAGUGGGAGGACCUCCCAUGCACUUCAAAUGUAUUGGAUGUCAACUGGUGAAAAACUCAUUGAACCGCUCAGCAGAGGGAUGAUGAGAGCAAGAUUAGAUGUCUAAUACUGUACUAUAUGUGGCACAUUUUUAACAGGCUUUUUUUCCGCUAAAUAAGUCUUUUUAAGAUUACUUUCUCCAUUUCAAGCCUAUUUGAGAGUCAUACUUGGGAAAAUUCAGACUUCUUAAUGUAUGAUUGUGAUGUCUAUGCUUAAACCAAUUUAAGACCAUUUUAAAAGGAAAAAAAUAGACAUUAUAAGCCUGUUAAAAAUGCUACCUACAGUGACAGUAUUUAAAGGAUGGUAGUCUAUUACGGAUAUAAAAAAAUAUAUUUUUUGAAAGACUUGGAGCAACAGAGCUUUCUUGCCAAAUGAAUCACAUUUGAUACACUUAGGAUUUAGAACUCUUUCCUCAAAAAAAAAAAAAAAAAAAAAAAAAAGGAUGCAAGUCAACUCAUGCAUCUGCAUGUUCCAUGAGAAAAACAGGAUUUAACAAGGAAAAUAGAUAUUAGAGCGCUUAUUACACAUUUUUCUUUACAAAUUUGGAAAAAAAAAGGUUUAAGACCUUAUUUUUCACAUUUUGUGAUUCUCUGACAAUUGCUUCAUAUUGCAGGCAUUAAGGGGUUAAGACCUGCCACAUGAAUUUUACUACCUUUUUAAACACUUUUUUUUAUUGCGACAAACCUAAUAAGUGAUCAAUGAUGGCAAGAGAGGAUAAAGCGCAGCAGCAAAUCCUCAGAUCUGUUCUUUGGAUGCCUUUGAAAGUAAAUAGUGACAUUGAGAGCAAUCAGGAGUUCAAUUAUGUGAGGUGAGGAGACCAAGUAAGUUUUGAGACAUUUUUUUAAUUUAAAUAGACAUCUCAGACUCCCAGCCUGUAGGAGGGCACAGGCUAGAUCUCCUCGAGCCUUCAGAACUUCGGGAAGGUGGGUCUGGUUGUGCCUGAGAUCUCCAUUGGCCAUAUACUCUUCCGCAAACUGAAAUGGCAUUUUAGGCAUUCUGUUACAUAUCAGUGCUAAACAACAACAGCAGCAAAGUUUUACUGCAGAGACUCCGAAAUCUUAAAAUCAUUACCUUUAAUGUGAAAACCCCACAGCUACUGUUGUUCUGCUGCUUGUUAUGGGCCACAGUUUUGGUAGUCCAAGUUUCUAUUUGGAACUCACGGCCCGCCAACCUCAAGAAGUUCCUAAUUAUUGUUUUAUAAGCAAAACAAUGAAGAUGAACAUUGAACUAUUAACUUCCAUAUUAACAUAAUACUAGGAAUUUAAACUUUCUGAAGCGGUUACCUCCAAUUCCGCAAGAUUUUGCUCAUAUUUGUCCUCGUUACUCAAGGGAUCGUUGAUCACCAGUGUUCUCUUAGAAAUGUGGACAAUCUAUAAAAGGUUAGUUCCUUUGUGUAAUUCUGCACAAUGACAGAUUUAUGUAGUUAACUUACUAAUGAAAUUUAACUUCUGUAUGGCAUCAGCUAAAUUAAUAGCUAUAUAUAAUACAUUCCAGAAUCGGUAGGUCUUAAGAAAAUAUAAGAAACCCACUAACCACUAAAAUCCAAUGAGCGCAUACAGGACAGGACAGGACAAAUACACUUUUUUUUUCAACAGGGAAUUUCCUCUGAAGAACAUACAAUACCAAAUUAUUGUUAUUUUGGGUUACUGGCGUUAAAAUAAUAUAGCUAAAUAUUGGCAUGAAAUGGAUUACCUUUCUAACAGGCUGAAAUUUUCCCAAAAGCAGACUCCCAGCUACCACAGCAGAGAGUUGGUGAAUGGGCUCCUGUUAAAAAAAGGGGUAACAACAUUACAACUAUACUCCGGCAAAAAAUAAAUGCAUUGAGAAAAACUAUAUCCAGCACUUGGCUGCUGCCUUUCAAUGAGGAUAUGCAUGUAUGCAUCAAAUACUUGCAUAGCAAAAUAAAAAAAUUGGCAAAAGGCAAGAAUCUUUGUUAUUUGCUAAACACUUAUUGCUCCCACUGACUUCAUCAGACAGCCAGCCGUUGCCUUUUAGCGUAUGAAAAGAUGUGUCGUAUAAUUUAUACGGUCCAACGACAGCCUCCACCUUGCCUUGAUCCUCUGCAGCCCACAGUAAUUUAACUGAAAACACAACAUUGUUAAAUCAAAAAAGUUAUUAUUUACGGCACUUGACCAGAUGACCAUCCGGUCAAAAUUAUCUACUGAAUAGGCCAAACCACCAAACAAAUCCUGUCGGUCGUUCACCAAUUUUGUAAGAGCUGUACGAAGUAGAAGGGUACAAUUAGAUAUACAUUUUAGAACACCAACAACAAC